UACAGAGGGUGCGAGCGUUGUCCGGAAUCACUGGGCGUAAAGAGCUCGUAGGCGGCUUGUCGCGUCGGAUGUGAAAGCCCGGGGCUUAACUCCGGGUCUGCAUUCGAUACGGGCAGGCUAGAGUUCGGUAGGGGAGAUCGGAAUUCCUGGUGUAGCGGUGAAAUGCGCAGAUAUCAGGAGGAACACCGGUGGCGAAGGCGGGUCUCUGGGCCGAUACUGACGCUGAGGAGCGAAAGCGUGGGGAGCGAACAGG
rnacentral:rRNA from 1 species